rfam:Moellerella wisconsensis ATCC 35017 Sequence00027, whole genome shotgun sequence.
GCAUCCGUAGCUCAGCUGGAUAGAGUACUCGGCUACGAACCGAGCGGUCGGAGGUUCGAAUCCUCCCGGUUGCA